rnacentral:rRNA from 1 species
CGAUCUGGAAUGAUGCAUUGUUCAAACGUAAGGCCUUAUGAUGAGACUGCGGUGGAUUAGGUAGUUGGCAGGGUAACGGCCUACCAAGCCUACGAUCCAUACGGGCCUUGGAAGAGGUAACCCGGAGAGGGACACUGAGAUACUGGUCCCAGCCCUACGGGGUGCAGCAGGCGCGAAAACUUUACAAUGCACGAAAGUGUGAUAGGGGAACUCAAAGUGCUUAUGGUUUUACCAUAGGCUUUUGCUAAGUCAAAAUCGCUUGGCGAAUAAGUGGUGGGCAAGACUGGUGCCAGCCGCCGCGGUAACCCCAGCGCCACGAGUGGGAACCGGUAUUAUUGGGCCUAAAGCGUCCGUAGCAGGUCUUCUAAAUUGCUUGUGAAAUCGCAUAGCUCAACUAUGCGGACUGCAGGUAGGACUGGAAGACUAGGGACCGGGAGAAGUCAGAGGUACUCAAAGGGGAGCGGUAAAAUGCGAGAAUCCUUUGAAGACCACCUGUUGCGAAGGCGUCUGACAAUAACGGGUCCGACUGUGAGGGACGAAAGCUAGGGGAGCGAACCGGAUUAGAUACCCGAGUAGUCCUAGCCCUAAACGCUGCGAGCUAGGUGUUGCAUAAUCUUCGGGAUUAUGCAGUAUCGUAGUGAAGACGUUAAGCUCGCCGCCUGGGAAGUACGGCCGCAAGACUGAAACUUAAAGGAAUUGGCGGGGGAGCACUACAAGGGGUGCGGCGUGCGGUUUAAUCGAAUUCAACGCCGAGAAUCUCACCAGAGGCGACGGCAGAAUGAAAGACAGUCUAAAGGGCUUUCUUGACGAGCCGAGAGGUAGUGCAUGGCCAUCGUCAGCUCGUAUCGUGAGAUGUCCCGUUAAGUCAGGUAACGAGCAAGACCUGCACCUAUAAUUGCUAACAGCUAUUCUAUAGGACUGAGCACAUUAUAGGGACUGCCCUGGAAACAGGGAGGAGGGUGCAGGCAACGGUAGGUCUGUAUGCUCCGAAUCUUCUGGGCUACACGCGCGCAACAAUGGUUAGGACAAUGGGAUGCAACUCCGAAAGGAGAAGCUAAACCUCGAAACCUAAUCUUAGUUUGGAUUGAGGGUUGUAACUCACCCUCAUGACACCGGAAUCCCUAGUAAUCGGUCCUCAUCAUAGACCAGUGAAUGUGUCCCUGCUCUUUGCACACACCGCCCGUCAAACCAACCGAGCAUAUCCUAAGUGAGUCCUGGGUUAAUUGCCCAAGCCAAACUUAAGUUAAGUGAGGUGGGUUAAGUCGUCACAAGGUA